ensembl:rRNA 5S_rRNA 5S ribosomal RNA
UCUAUGGCCAUACCACCCUGAACGCGCCCAAUCUCGUCUGAUCUCGGAAGCUAGCAGGGUCUGGUUAGUACUUGGAUGGGAGAUAUUAUAAAGCCAAUAAAA